AAUUGUUGAAAUUUCAUUUACAAAAUAGGUGAAUAAGAAAUGUAGAAGAUAAAUUAUGUAUAUACAUAAUGAUAUCUGUGUUAUAUGUACAUGGCCAAAGCAACAUUCCGAGAUCAGAUAUUCAAUAUAAUGCACAUUAAAUGUAUAUUUUUAUUAGAAUGGUAUCACGAAAUCAAGACUGUAAGGCAUUUUGAUUGCCUGUAGAUACUUGAAUUCAGAUGCUUGUUUAUGCAAGUGUUCAUUAAUCUGUGAUACUCAUUUGUUAUGUGUGUGACACGUGAAACAUAGUGCAAUAAGUGUUAUUUAAAGUUUAUAUGUACAAUUUUUACCAGUACGUAAACAUAAUAAAUCACAAAGUAUAGAAUC
rnacentral:misc_RNA from 1 species